UCGUGGAUUGAUUUGUCUGGUCUAUUCCGAUAACGAGCGAGACCCCGACGUUCCUAAUAGGGGCAAUAGCCAAGCUACCCUCGGGUUUGCUAGCAAUUGCUUAAGAUUCACUUCUUAGACGUAUCAGAGCCGAAAAGGUUCUUGAAAUGGGUUAAUAACA
rnacentral:rRNA from 1 species